AUGGAAAAGACACCACUGCCCUUGCUGCAACUACAUUGUUCCACGUCUCCCUUAUUAAAAAAGUAUCUUAUGCCAGCUUUUACCUACUACUUUUUUUCUGACUCGUCUUUAUUUUUCAAUUUCUCUCUCUUCGACAUCUUUCUUCCUUCUUCGUUCUUCCUAUUUUUCUUCUGUCUUGUACCUCUUCUUCUUCUUCUAAUCUUCUUUGUUCUUCCUCUUUUUCUUCUGUCUUCUACCUCUUCUUCUACAAUAUCACUUUAUGA